GAAGUCGGACCUGCCCAGUGAGUUUUAAACGGCCGCGGUACUCUGACCGUGCAAAGGUAGCAUAAUCAUUUGCCUUAUAAUUGAAGGCUGGAAUGAAUGGUUUGACAAGAAUACCCCUGUCUCUUUUAGAUUAUUUAGAACUUUAUUUUUGGAUGAAAAAGUCCAGAUAUAAUUAAUAGACAAGAAGACCCUAUCGAGCUUUAGAGAAAUUAGUAAACUUAGUUAGUAUGACCAAUAUAAGUAAAAGAAAGAUUACUAAACACUUUGGUUGGGGCAACCGAGGAGAUUUCUUUGCCUCCUUUGAUCUACAAAUCUUACUUGUGUUGAUCCAGUAAUUCUGAUCAAAGAAAUUAGUUACCGUAGGGAUAACAGCAUAAUCUUUUUCAAGAGCCCAUAUCGAAAAAAAGGUUUGUGACCUCGAUGUUGGACCAGAAUGUCCUAAAGAUGCAGAAGUCUUUAAGGGUUGGU
rnacentral:rRNA from 1 species